rnacentral:misc_RNA from 1 species
UCUGAUAAUGCAAUGCGCGCGAAACAAUGGCUGUCUCGGAAUCAAGAUGUAAACAGACUCGAAAUUAACAUUUCUGAAGCAUAUUUGCAGAAUGGCGAGCAAGCGGAAGCUCGAAGAAGAUGCAGAAACGUUCGCCACCCCAAGUAAAACUCAAAAAAUGUUGGAUGAAGUGAAAAGAUCAGGAAGAGUCAGGAAGAAGCCAGCCAGAUUCAAAGAUACAGGAGAAGAAUCAGAUGAAGAUGGAGAAAUAGUGAAGACCCCUAAAAGUCCUGAAAGUGUUAGUCCAGGCACUGCUAAAUCUGUUCCGAGUCCAAAGGGAGCACCCACAGUGACAGUACCAUUCAUUCUGAAACCAGAUGCAGUGGCAAGUCCAGCAAAAGGGCCCAAGCCUAAAGCAAUUGUUGCCAAAUCUCCAGGUGUCAUUAUGAUACAGAAUCCAAGUCUGCUGGGGACAGGUGCUGAGACCAACCCUUUAGUAGUAUCUCCACAUGUGGUGUCGGUCCCCACAGUGGCACCUGUCACAGUGCCUGUUGUUGUCCAAUCACCAGUUAUCCCCCCUGUCCAGUCGCCAGUGACCAUCAAGGCUAAAACUCAAACAUCACAAAGCGCCGACUUCGACAAUAAAUCAGGACGGGUGAGGAAGAAGUCAAAAAAAGUUCUUGAAAUGGAGGCAUUUGAGGAGGCUGAGCGCAUAAAAACAACCACCAAAAAAGUGCCUGAAACGAAGGGCAGUCAGAAGUCACCUGCAGCGAGGAAGAGUGGUCAUAUUGGGAUAGUAGGAAAGGCUGCAGACACUGUACUGACCGCUGUCACACUGACCGGUCUGUCCCAAGGAGUGGCUGCUGAGGUCGGCAAACUGACUGCAGUCAAGAUGGAGCCUGCAGAACAGAUGCUGGACACCAGUAUUCCACCUCAGGCUCUACCACAGCCAGCCAUACCAGGAAAGAUGGAUCCUGCAUUGGCUAAUCUCCCACCAUUUCCUCCGUCAAAGCUUGGAACAUUAUCAAAACCAGCCAUUCCUGGAAAGAUAGAUCCAGUGUUAGCAAAUCUCCCACCAUUUCCACCAUCAAAACUUGGUAACUCUUCUAAAAAAGGUAAAAAGAAAAAAGAUGAUAUCGGUCCAAUAACUACUCCACCAUUGAUUGCUCCAGCUUCUCCGAUUGUUGCUGGUGCUAAAAAAGUCAAAACUACCCCAAAAGCUAAGAAAAGCAAACAACAGGAACUGAUGGAGGUGGAGCCACAUUUAAUGGGUGGGGCAAUGUCUGUAGGUGUAACAGAAGAACAAGAUAUAGGUGUGCUACAGUCUGGAUCCUUGUCAGACAGCUCUGUCAAAGUUAAGACAGAGCCGACAUCUCCAGGAAAGACUGUGAAAAGAGGUCUGAAAGGAUCACCUUCUGCAAUAGAUCCCUCUCUCAUUGAAACUGGGAUUCGCAUGCCACAGUCCAUAGCAGGACAAAGUGGAAGCGUUAUUAAAAUGCUACUCAAUACACCCACACAAUUCUCUAGUCCUACUGUGUCUACUCAGUCAAUAAACACUAGUGAGAAGGCACAGAAACUAGGCACUUCCCCCGAGGCCAUGGAUACAAGUAUUGUCAAGUCGGAGGCCAUGUACCUCGGGGACGAGUCGACAAUUCUGUUGUCCACAGACAUUAUGGAGCACACAGAGACAGUUGGAGACGAAGAUGUGUACGAUAAAAAGAAACAGAAAAAAAUAAUUAAAAAGACAAUUCUUAUGGACCCAAUGGAUGAUGAUGAGGAUGAUGAUGAUCUGGACGAUUUAGAUGAUGAUGACGAUGAUUUUGAUAAUGGGGAUGAAGCAGGUGAAUGGGAAUUCGAAAAUCAGGACGGUAAGUUGGUGAUCGCAGAUUUUCCCAAGAAAGGAAAUGAGGAAUUGGAGGAAGAUAAACAGGCCGUAGACUCAAAUAAAGGAAAGAAAUCUCCAAAACGACCAACACCUAAAAAGCGACCACAGAGCAAGGGCAAGGCUGAUGGAGCAGAUGCAGAUGGUGAGCAAGGCGAUGGGAAGAAAGGUGGAAAAGCAGCGAAGGAAAAGAAAAAGAAGAGGCUGACUGCCUAUACUAUGUGGUGUAACACCGUCCGAAACAAAGUCCUCAGUGAAAAUCAAGGGAUGGUGCGCAGACGAUAUUCAUCAAGGGAGAAAGUUGAAGUGGUUGAAUGGCACAGAGAACAUGGAAGCAACUGUUCGGCAUCAGAAAGACAUUAUGGUAUUGCUAGGAAACAGAUCCGUCAGUGGAACAGGGACUAUGACAAUCUACUUUACCUCUCACUCGGCCCUGACAGGGAAAAGAAAUGUAUUGUUACCAAGACUAAAGCUGCCUCAUCAGAACUUGACUAUUUGGUAUUCGAAUGGUUUAUGGACGAGCGUAUGUCGAGCAGAUCUGUGACUAACCUGUUGUUGAUGUCCAAGGCUCGCGAUAUUGCUGUCGAGCUUAAUAUUUACGGCUUCCAGGCAUCUCAUGGAUGGCUCAGAAGGUGGAAGAAACGACACAAUGUUACUUACUGCUCUGAGAACAAGACAUGUGAGCUAGAAUGAAGAUGUUUUCUCCGCACACUUGAUGUACACAUUUAUCUAGGGAAGAAUAUCCUCAGUGUGUAAACAGUACAGAUGAGCCGACAGCAUUUCUAUUUUUUCUGACACCUGGGGUUUAAGUUGUGACUUCCUCAGCAGUGGUUUCCAUUAAAUUCAAGGUCUGAUGACAACUGUAUGAUAUGACUGUAGGUCAAAGAGAUGACUUGAGCAAAAAGUGCCUGUUUGAGAUUUUCCACAAGAAUUAAUAUGUUCAAGUAGCUAAACAUGUAUAUAUAUUAGAAUUAGUGAAAUAUUUAAAAUGACUAACCACAUCUUGUGGAAGUCGGAGAUUGUUUAAAUUUGUUUGCUGUUUUAAGAUAUUUAACCUUUAAAAGGGGAGAUGAUAAUGAAAAAACUGUUAAGUGUUUUAAUUUUAAUUUCUGUUUUACAAAUAACAGAAUAUAUAAUGUUCCUUCAUAUUUGAUGGUCUGUUUAUUUGGUUUUAUUUUAUUUAACGUCCUACAUAUGAACAGCCAUUUAAGGACGUCGUAUUUGAUGAAAUACGAAAUGUACUUUUUUUUAAAAACAUAUACAUGUAUAUAAUUCAU